GACGAACGCUGGCGGCGUGCUUAACACAUGCAAGUCGAACGGACAGACCCUGCUUUUGUGGGGUGCUCGUGUGGCGAACGGGUGAGUAAAACGUGAGUAACAUGCCCUUGACUUUGGGAUAUCUUCAGGAAAAUGGGGCUAAUACACGAUAGGAGCUACUGCUGCAUGGUGGGGGUUGGAAAGUUUCGGCGGUUGGGGAUGGACUCGCGGCUUAUCAGCUUGUUGGUAGGGUAGUGGCUGACCCAGGCUUUGACGGGUAGCCGGCCUGGGAGGGUGACCCGCCACAUUGGCCCUGGGAAACGACCCAUAGGCCUACGGGCGGCAGCAGCGAAGGCUUGUGCACAAAGGGCCGAGUCCUGAAGGAGCGUCGCCGCGUGCGGGAUGACGGCCUUCGGGGUAGAAAACGCUUUCGCCUGUGACGACGCGUGAUUGAGGUAAAUGGGCAAAGAAGCACCGGUUAAUUACGU
rnacentral:rRNA from 1 species